GGGAGCGAGGCAGCAAAAAGCGCGAUGGGUCUUGGCUGGCCUGCAAGGUGGUGAGACGAAUCUUAAACGAACUUAAAGACUCUCCAAGACUGAUCGUCCUAGGUGAAAUCCUCACUGCAACUCCGUUGGUGCUGAGUAUUGAAGGUCAGGUGUUUGUGAAUCCACACCCCAAGCUUGUGGCUGGAUUUGCAGCUUUGUUUGCAUCUUACUACGACUUCAACCUGGUUUACCAGGAGGAGGCAUCCUCCACACUUGAAUUUGUUCAAAGGUAAUUAUAUUCAAAUAGGUAGCUCUUUGUUUUAUAGCAGUGUUUCUCAACCAGGGGGAUGGGACCCUCAACAUAUUUCCAA